GUCGGAUGUGAAAUCCCCGGGCUCAACCUGGGAACUGCAUUCGAAACUGGCAGGCUUGAGUCUUGUAGAGGGGGGUAGAAUUCCAGGUGUAGCGGUGAAAUGCGUAGAGAUCUGGAGGAAUACCGGUGGCGAAGGCGGCCCCCUGGACAAAGACUGACGCUCAGGUGCGAAAGCGUGGGGAGCAAACAGGAUUAGAUACCCUGGUAGUCCACGCCGUAAACGAUGUCUACUUGGAGGUUGUGCCCUUGAGGCGUGGCUUCCGGAGCUAACGCGUUAAGUAGACCGCCUGGGGAGUACGGCCGCAAGGUUAAAACUCAAAUGAAUUGACGGGGGCCCGCACAAGCGGUGGAGCAUGUGGUUUAAUUCGAUGCAACGCGAAGAACCUUACCUGGUCUUGACAUCCACAGAACUUUCCAGAGAUGGAUUGGUGCCUUCGGGAACUGUGAGACAGGUGCUGCAUGGCUGUCGUCAGCUCGUGUUGUGAAAUGUUGGGUUAAGUCCCGCAACGAGCGCAACCC
rnacentral:rRNA from 2 species